rnacentral:rRNA from 1 species
AGCGAACGCUGGCGGCAGGCCUAACACAUGCAAGUCGAACGAACCUUUCGGGGUUAGUGGGGGACGGGUGAGUAACACGUGGGAACGUGCCUUUAGGUUCGGAAUAACUCAGGGAAACUUGUGCUAAUACCGAAUGUGCCCUUCGGGGGAAAGAUUAAUCGCCUUUAGAGCGGCCCGCGUCUGAUUAGCUAGUUGGUUGAGGUAAUGGCUCACCAAGGCGACGAUCAGUAGCUGGUCUGAGAGGAUGAUCAGCCACAUUGGGACUGAGACACGGCCCAAACUCCUACGGGAGGCAGCAGUGGGGAAUCUUGCGCAAUGGGCGAAAGCCUGACGCAGCCAUGCCGCGUGAAUGAUGAAGGUCUUAGGAUUGUAAAAUUCUUUCACCGGGGACGAUAAUGACGGUACCCGGAGAAGAAGCCCCGGCUAACUUCGUG